rnacentral:misc_RNA from 1 species
GUAAUAAUUCAAGGUUUGUUUUCAGAAGUUUAAUGCUACUGCAAAGGAGUUAUAGGGGUCCCUGGCGGCAGCGAGCUGCCGAGGGAACAACAAAGGUACGCAUAGGCAAGGUAAUAGUCAAGGGCUAAGCGCCCCAGGAGCGCCGCUGCAAGCAACGUGCCCCCGGAAGCGGCCCGAGUCCGGGUAAUGAUCCUUCCGCAGGUUCACCUACGGAAA